AACGAACGCUGGCGGCAGGCUUAACACAUGCAAGUCGAACGAGCUGGGAACUUCGGUUCCCGAUGCUAGUGGCGCACGGGUGAGUAACACGUGGGAACGUACCCUUUAGUACGGAAUAACUCAGGGAAACUUGAGCUAAUACCGUAUGACUCCUUCGGGAGAAAGAUUUAUCGCUAAAGGAGCGGCCCGCGUCUGGAUUAGGUAGUUGGUGAGGUAACGGCUCACCAAGCUGACGAUCAGUAGCUGGUCUGAGAGGAUGAUCAGCCACACUGGGACUGAGACACGGCCCAGACUCCUACGGGAGGCAGCAGUGGGGAAUAUUGGACAAUGGGGGCAACCCUGAUCCAGCCAUGCCGCGUGAGUGAAGAAGG
rnacentral:rRNA from 1 species